UGGGGAAUUUUGGACAAUGGGCGCAAGCCUGAUCCAGCCAUGCCGCGUGCGGGAAGAAGGCCUUCGGGUUGUAAACCGCUUUUGUCAGGGAAGAAAUCCUUUGGGCUAAUACCCCGGGGGGAUGACGGUACCUGAAGAAUAAGCACCGGCUAACUACGUGCCAGCAGCCGCGGUAAUACGUAGGGUGCAAGCGUUAAUCGGAAUUACUGGGCGUAAAGCGUGCGCAGGCGGUUAUGCAAGACAGAUGUGAAAUCCCCGGGCUCAACCUGGGAACUGCAUUUGUGACUGCAUAGCUGGAGUGCGGCAGAGGGGGAUGGAAUUCCGCGUGUAGCAGUGAAAUGCGUAGAUAUGCGGAGGAACACCGAUGGCGAAGGCAAUCCCCUGGGCCUGCACUGACGCUCAUGCACGAAAGCGUGGGGAGCAAACAGGAUUAGAUACCCUGGUAGUCCACGCCCUAAACGAUGUCAACUGGUUGUUGGGAAGGUUCCUUCUCAGUAACGUAGCUAACGCGUGAAGUUGACCGCCUGGGGAGUACGGCCGCAAGGUUG
rnacentral:rRNA from 1 species